AUGGACAUUAGUGACGCCGCCGCCUCCGCUGCUGUCUCGUGGUCAUGGCCCGUAGCCUACCGGGUCACGUCGUCUCUCCGUACCCAAGACGCGGUCGACGCCCUGUGCGAGAAGUACGGCGUGCCGAUGGCCUACACUGCGCACCCCGCUGGCGACAGGCGCGCCUGCAUGCCGCCGCCAGAGCGGGCCGUGUGCCUGUACGUGCAUGAGAUGGAGGCCAGGGUGCGCUUCCCGCUGCACAACUUCUUCUCCGAGGUCCUCACCCACCUCUGCCUCGCGCCAGGCCAGCUCACGCCUAGCGGGUGGCGCGUCCUUGUGGGAUUCGUGGUGCUCUGCCACGACGCGAGGUUUGUUCUGCUGCUCCUGAAAUCGAUGGCGGCCCUCCUCUCCGACGUCCUCCUUCACGGCGAGCCGCCCAAGCACCCGGCUUUCUCUCCCAACCUCGCCUCAUCACCUCCCGGGCUUGUCCUUGAUUCUACUGGCGCCAAAGGGAUAGAUUCCUCAUCCGCCGCCGCCUAUCGGGUGAUCUCGUCUCUCCGUACCCAGGACGCGGUCGACGCCCUGUGCAGGAAGCACGGCCUGCCGACGGCCUACACCGCGCGCCCCGCUGGCGACCGGGCCGUCUUCACUCCGCCUCCUGAGCGGGCCGUGUGCCUGUACGCGCACGCGCUGGAGGCCGGGGUGCGCUUCCCACUGCACAGCUUCUUCUCCUCUCAAAAAAAAAAAAAAAGCUUCUUCUCCCAGGCGCUCACCCACUUUCGCCUCGCGCCGGGCCAGCUCACGCCUAGCGGGUGGCGCGUCCUUGUGGGAUUCGUGGUGCUCUGCCACGACGCCGGCGUGCAGCCAUCGACGGACGUAUUCUGCUACUUUUUCUCGCUGUGCCCAUACACGUCCGGUUGGUACGGCUUCCGGGCAAAGCACGACGGCUGUGCGCUCUUCAAAGGGUGGUAUUUUUCGGGAUCCGAAGAGACGUGGAAGGACAGGUUCUUCUUCCUGACAUCGCCGGAGCCAUGGUCGUGUCCCGUGUUUUGGGGCGAGCGGCCGUCGAAGUACAAGCGCUCCUGGAUAGCCCGUGAUGAAGCUCCAGCGCUCACAACCCAGCAAAAGAAAACGGUGGCAAAGCUACUGGACGCACACGGCACAGCGGUUGAUCUCCAGACUUACCUCUCUGACACCAAACUUGCAGCGGUUUUCUCUUCCAAGGUCGCCUCACCACCGCCCGGCGCCAAAGGCAUGGAUUCGUCCGCGGCCAAGGUGAAAACUGAGCCGGACGGCGAACCGACGGUGUCCCUGAAAAAGAGGAAACACGAGGAGGCAACCAUUUCAAAAGACGGUGUCCCUGAGCACAGCACGCCCCAUGCUGCCCAUGGCUGCUCGGCCUCCGCGUCCGGCUUGGGUGCCCCGCCUGGUUUCGACCCAAAGGCACGGCACCUGCCCGUGCCCGACACACACGACGGCGACAGCGCCGACUGGGAGGCCGCGAAGAAGGUGCUAGAGUGCAUCACCACGCCGUCGCGGGAGCGUGGGUUCGCCGCUGCAAGUCCCUCCGACGUCGUCGCGUCGAGCUACUCCGCAAUGCUCCAGGUAUGCUGCGACCAAAUCGUCCAUCCAUUAGCAGUGGCAUGUGAUUUGUCCGGUCUCAUUGUGUUUUCCGUGCACCCCCCGCACGUGCAGGCCGCGAACUACGCGUCCUUCUCCUUCGGCUAUGCGCUGGAGCUGGAGAAGAAGCUGGCGGCGCGGGACAAGGAGAAUUCUGCUCUGCGGGUGCAGCUGGAGAGCGCCAAGACCGAGCUGACCGCGGCGAAGCGCGCAGCGGAGGCGGACGGGAAGGCCAACAAGACGACGGCGGUGUAG
rnacentral:rRNA from 1 species